UCUCAAUGUUUGUCUUUAUGACAAACACCAAAAAACACAUUCAAGUGUUCUUGGGAAUAUCACUUUUAAGUGAUUAU
rnacentral:tRNA from 1 species